AUGAGAACCGUACUGGAGUCUUUUAAGCAGCUUUGUAGGCCUGCAGAGCUCCCCUGCUACCCAGGGAGCUUGGCUUCCAGCAGCUAUGCCCCAUUCAUCACCUGCUUUCAAUGGCCACUACCAAGCCGCCUUCAGCUACAACACCAGCAGGGGAGGAGAGCUCCAGCAGCGGCCAAGGUCAUCGUCUCCAGCUCGGUAGGAGUCGGAGGCGAACGAACAGCCGGACCCCGCUGCCCCACCCUCCCACAAACACACCCCUGUUGAGAUACUGGCAAGUUGUCAUGACGACAGGGAUGUUCUGCUGAUGAAGUCUCGCUCAGCGUCGUCCAAUCAGAUCGUGGGGCUACAACCGCAGCGCGAACAGGGGAGGACGCACCUAUUCCAGUUGCACAAUGCUAUGAAGGGACAAGCGAAACCCUGGACCACCAACGGGAAAUUGGCAAACCAGAGGAGGCUGUCAAUGGGCCGCCAUGGGUCGACAAUACGCAAAACAGCGGGGGUCGUGGAUACAAGGGCUGCCAGGUAGGGGGUCUCCACCAUGUCCGCAGCACUUUUAUUUUGGAUUUGCGGCUACUAUUAAUACAAAUAUAAAUGCAUUAUUUAUUUUCAUUGUUGGCUUGAAUCUUUUGGGACCGACAUUGAUGUAGGUUGUAUGUGUUUCGGGAUGUUGGCUGUAGCUGCUUCAGGUGCACUUUUACCAAAAGCAAAUCACUCCUGCAGGUGGUUCUUACUAAUCUGCAACAGCCAUGAGAACCAAAAGAAAGAGAGGAGAAGAGUCAGGUACCGUUAACUUUUGUCAUAUGGAUAUCAUUCCAGGACGUGGACAAAAGGCUAAAACGCAGAAACUGUAGGACCCAAAGUAAAAAAACUCUCUUGGUGUUAGUAUGACGCGGGCCUUUUAUUCCAAACCAUGGGGGACAUUUUCUUUUCUUUUGUUUUCUUUUUUUUUUUUUUGCUGGAUGACCAGAGGAGGAACUGAGCCCAUGAAAUUAUUGCUAUCAACUGUUAUAUUGAGGUUUAAGUUUCUGCAUGUGCUUUUUUCAAUGGCGCCUUUUCGCACCCUACUCUCUUUACCCCAUCAGUUCAGUCCUUGUCUCUGUGGAAUGCCAUUCGAUAGACUGAUCCCAAGGAGAGUUGGUGUCUGACUCUUCAAACUUCACAAUAAAUUUAGUUUGUCAGCAUGAUAAAACCA
rnacentral:lncRNA from 1 species